GGAUGACAGAGGGAUAAAGGGGGGAGGUUAAAGAGGCUGCAGCCAUGUGUCUGACUAUGAUGAGCAUGGCAGCAUGUGCACUGUUGUCAUGGCUGGCGGGCAAGUUUUUCUGGACUAAAGGAGGACAAGACGAAAGAGGACACCUGGACACAAUGGUGAGUAAGAAAGAUGGGAGGGUUUUUUUAGGUGCAAACUAGAAUUUCAUCUCAUGGUAGAUAAUAAUUAUACUACACAAAAAGGUGGUGAAUAUCACUAAAAGUGUUUCUUCGACUUGUAAUCAUAAGGGAACCACUUUUAGUGUGACAUUAGCACAUAGAUCUUAAAGAUACGCAGCACCAUUACCACUCCAAAGAACCACGAACUAAAGAACCUCUAUUGGUACUAUAGCACCUAAAUUGCUUCCCCUACACUAUCUGGCAAUAAUCUUGUGGCUUAUCCAAGUUUUAGAAACAACAAAUAAU